UUGUGGUUAAAAAGCUCGUAGUUGGAUCUCGGCGGACUGAGGGCGGUUUGCUUGCUAGUAUUACUGCCCUAUAGUCCGUAGUUUUGCCAGAGGUUUCAGGGUGCUCUUAAUCGAGUGUCCCGGGAUGCUGGCAGGUUUACUUUGAAAAAAUUAGAGUGCUCAAAGUAGGCUAUUACGCCUGAAUAUUCGUGCAUGGAAUAAUAGAAUAGGAAGUCGUUUCUAUUUUGUUGGUUUUCGGAAAUCGACUUAAUGAUUAAUAGGGACAGUCGGGGGCAUUUGUAUUCAAACGACAGAGGUGAAAUUCUUGGGCCGUUUGAAGACAAACUACUGCGAGAGCAUUUGCCAAGAAUGUUUUCAUUAAUCAAGAACGAAAGUUAAAGGUUCGAAGGCGAUUAGAUACCGCCCUAGUUUUAACCAUAAACGAUGCCAGCUAGCGAUCUGCGGACGUUUUUUUUGUAGACUCCGCAGGAAGCUUCCGGGAAACCAAAGCAUUUGGGUUCCAGGGGAAGUAUGGUUGCAAAGCUGAAACUUAAAGGAAUUGACGGAAGGGCACCACCAGGAGUGGAGCCUGUGGCUUAAUUUGACUCAACACGGGAAAUCUCACCAGGCCCGGACACUGGAAGGAUUGACAGAU
rnacentral:rRNA from 1 species